UGCAGAGGAAGCUAUUGCUCAUGAGAUACACCUGUACCUCCAAACAAGCUCUUCUUGGAGACUUGGGCACGGUAGUUCUGUAUGAAGAGAAAGCUGGUGGAGAUCAGUAGAUGAUGCCUGCUGAGGAUGUCAUCUUUGCUACUGACUUUUUAAUUAAUUCUUGUCCUCAGCUCAAAGAGCAAUGUUUCACAGUAAAAAGUCUUCACAUAUAAAGCAGCAUAGAUGUCUUCAAGAUGAACUUGAUUCUUCUUUUGAAGACCUGCCUGGAGCAAAAAAAACAAUCCCCGUCUCUCUGUCUUCAUUCUGCCUAUCUCAGUGUUAGAUCCAGAGCCUUGAAAAGAAAAAGUUCAUAAGUAUGCCUUCAUAAAUAAAGUGUUCAAAAAUGAGAUAAAACUGCUGUGUCUGAGUUAAUUUAUUCCUAGUCUCAAACUUGUUCUAACCUUCUUACCUUUAAGGUAAAUGAAGACCUUUUGCCAAAUAUCUCUUUGUACUAAUAAGUAAAGGCUCCUUUGGGAGAUGGAUACUGCUU